CUACGGGUGGCUCCAGUGAGGAAUAUUGGUCAAUGGGCGCAAGCCUGAACCAGCCAUCCCGCGUGGAGGAAGACGGCCCUAUGGGUUGUAAACUCCUUUUAUAAGGGAAGAAUAUACGUAUCGUGAUAUGUUUUGACGGUACCUUAUGAAUAAGCAUCGGCUAACUCCGUGCCAGCAGCCGCGGUAAUACGGAGGAUGCAAGCGUUAUCCGGAUUCAUUGGGUUUAAAGGGUGCGCAGGCGGACCAAUAAGUCAGUGGUGAAAUCUUACGGCUCAACCGUGAAACUGCCAUUGAUACUGUUAGUCUUGAGUACGGCUGAGGUAGGCGGAAUGUGUAAUGUAGCGGUGAAAUGCUUAGAUAUUACACAGAACACCAAUUGCGUAGGCAGCUUACUAGACCGUAACUGACGCUGAGGCACGAAAGCGUGGGUAGCGAACAGGAUUAGAUACCCUCGUACUC
rnacentral:rRNA from 1 species